rnacentral:rRNA from 1 species
CACACCUGACUGAGGGUCGGUUGACCAAACUCAACGACCAGACUGUC